rnacentral:rRNA from 1 species
CGGAGGAUCCAAGCGUUAUCCGGAAUCAUUGGGUUUAAAGGGUCCGUAGGCGGUUUAAUAAGUCAGCGGUGAAAGCCUAUCGCUUAACGAUAGAACGGCCAUUGAUACUGUUAGACUUGAAUUAGUGGGAAGUAACUAGAAUAUGUAGUGUAGCGGUGAAAUGCUUAGAUAUUACAUGGAAUACCAAUUGCGAAGGCAGGUUACUAUCACUAUAUUGACGCUGAUGGACGAAAGCGUGGGGAGCGAACAGGAUUAGAUACCCUGGUAGUCCACGCCGUAAACGAUGGAUACUAGCUGUUCGGAGCAAUCUGAGUGGCUAAGCGAAAGUGAUAAGUAUCCCACCUGGGGAGUACGUUCGCAAGAAUG